UGGGGAAUAUUGGCGCAAUGGGGGAAACCCUGACGCAGCCAUGCCGCGUGAGUGAAGAAGGUCUUCGGAUCGUAAAGCUCUUUCAACGGUGAAGAUGAUGACGGUAGCCGUAGAAGAAGCCCCGGCUAACUUCGUGCCAGCAGCCGCGGUAAUACGUAGGGUGCAAGCGUUGUCCGGAAUUAUUGGGCGUAAAGAGCUCGUAGGCGGUCCGUUGCGUCUGCCGUGAAAACCCGGAGCUCAACUCCGGGCCUGCGGUGGAUACGGGCGGACUAGAGUCCGGUAGGGGAGACUGGAAUUCCUGGUGUAGCGGUGGAAUGCGCAGAUAUCAGGAGGAACACCGGUGGCGAAGGCGGGUCUCUGGGCCGGAACUGACGCUGAGGAGCGAAAGCGUGGGGAGCGAACAGGAUUAGAUACCCUGGUAGUCCACG
rnacentral:rRNA from 1 species